rnacentral:rRNA from 1 species
CGGGGGGAGCAAGCGUUGUUCGGAUUUACUGGGCGUAAAGGGCGCGUAGGCGGCCACCGCAAGUCGACUGUGAAAUCUCCGGGCUUAACCCGGAAAGGUCAGCCGAUACUGCGGGGCUAGAGUGCAGAAGGGGCAACUGGAAUUCUCGGUGUAGCGGUGAAAUGCGUAGAUAUCGAGAGGAACACCUGCGGCGAAGGCGGGUUGCUGGGCUGACACUGACGCUGAUGCGCGAAAGCUAGGGGAGCGAACGGGAUUAGAUACCCCGGUAGUCCUAGCCUUAAACGAUGAAUGCUUGGUGUCUGGGGCUUUAUAGUCCCCGGGUGCCGUCGCUAACGCUUUAAGCAUUCCGCCUGGGGAGUACGGUCGCAAGACUG